rnacentral:ncRNA from 1 species
AGAGUUUGAUCCUAGAUUAGAAGGAACGCUACCUAUAUGCUUAACACAUGCAAGUCGAACGUUGUUUUCGGGGAGCUGGGCAGAAGGAAAAGAGACUCUCAGCUAAAGGUAGCCUGUCUCGCCCAAGAGGUGAGAAAAGUAGAGAACAAAGUCGCGAAUGGGUGUGUAACGCGAGGGAAUCUGCGGAAUAAUUCGGGCCAAAUCCUGAAGAAAGCUAAAAAGCAUUGUUUGAUAAGAUUGCGUAGUAUUAAGUAGUUGGUCAGGUAAAGGCUGACCAAGCCAAUGAUGAUUAGCUGGUCUUUUUGGAUGAUCAGCCACACUGGGACUGAGACACAGCUCGGAAUCCCACGAGGGGCAGCAGUGGGGAAUCUUGGACAAUGGGCGAAAACUCGAUCCAACAAUAUCGCGUGAGUGAAGAAAAGCUCUUUCAUCAAGUGCGCGAUCAUGACAGGACUCGAGGAAUAAGCCCCAGCUAACUCCAUGCCAGCAGCCACGGUAAGAUAAUGGGGGGUAAGUGUUGUUCGAAAUGACUGGGCAUAAAGGGCAUGUACGCGAUGAAUCGAGUUGAAAAUGAAAGCCACCAAAAACUGGCAGAAUACUCUCGAAACUAAUAAACUAGAGUGAGAUAGAAGAUAGUGGAAUUUUGUGUGUAGGGGUGAAAUCCGGAGAUCUACGAAGGAACGCUAAAAGCGAAGGUAGCUAUCUGGGUCCCUACCGACGCUGAUGUGCGAAAGCAUGGGGAGUGAACAUGAUUAGAUACCCUGGUAGUCCAUGCCAUAUAUGAUGAGUGUUCGCCUUUGGUAUACGCAGAUCAGGGGCCCAGCUAACGCGUGAGACACUUCACCUGGGGAGUACGGUCGCAAGACCGAAACUCAAAGGAAUUGAUGGGGACCUGCACAAACGCUGGAGCAUGUGGUUUAAUUCGAUGCAAUGCUCAAAACCUUACCAGCCCUUGACAUAUGAAGAAGAAAACAUGUCCUUAACAGGAUGGUACUUACUUUCAUACAAGUGUUGCAUGGAUGUCGUCAGCUCGUGUCGUGAGAUGUUUUGUCAAGUCAUAUAACGAGCGAAACCCUCAUUUUGUAUUGCUGAGACAUGCGCCUAUGGAGAAAGUCUUUGCAACCACAGUGAGCCGAGAAGUCGAGUGACGUGCCAGUGCUACUAAUUAAGUGCCAGCACCUAGCUGUGCUGUCAUUAAAAAGGUAGCCGGUGCCUUUCGAAGCACUUUCUAUUAUAGUUAGCACUAUUUAUUGAUUGCAGCUAGCGCGCUUGACUAAUAAGAUAGAAAGGGCCUUUCUCGCUUGUUUAGUAAAGUCAAGUUUUUGGCCUUAUCUUGCAGGUGACGACGACAUCAAGUUGACGGCAGAGAAAGACUCGGCAUUCAGGCGAGCUACCCGGUGGUGUGGUACGUAGUGGGUUUAGUGCGCCCACCUAAACAAACAACUCUGAAAGAAACAAAAGGGUGUGUUGCGCACUCACGAAGGACUGCCAGUGAUUUACUGGAGGAAGGUGGGGAUGAAGUCAAGUCCGCAUGGCUCUUAUUAGCUAGACCAGACACGUGCUACAAUGAUAAUUACAAUGGGAAGCAAGGCUAUAAGGCCGAGCGAAUCUUGAAAGAUUACCUCAGUUCGGAUUGUUCUCUGAAACUCGGGAACAUGAAGUUGGAAUCGCUAGUAAUCGCGGAUCAGCAUGCCGCGGUGAAUAUAUAAUCGGGCCAUGUACACACCGCCUGUCACACCGUGGGAAUUGGUUUCUCCUGAAGCAUCGAACCAAUUUUCACCCAUGACAUCUAUGGCACACUAGUGCCACAAAGGCUUUUGGUGGUCUUAUUGGCGCAUACCACGGUGGGGUCUUCGACUGGGGCGAAGUCGUAACAAUGUAGCCCUAAUGGAACCUGUGGCUG